AAAAAAAAAAAAAAAAAACUCAGGAACAAACAAAAAAGAUCUGAAUGUCUCCAAAAUGCAGGCUGUUUUCUAUUCUGUCCCAAUGCCUCUCAAAAGAGAACAUGCGUUUCUUAUUAUUUUGUCUCAUCCAGUCUUCAAAACCUGGCUCAGAAAUAUUAAUAUAUAAUGUGGCCCUGAGCUGGACACACAACAGGACACGGCUCACAGAGAUUGCCCACUGAAAUUUAAGGCCAGAAAACUUCUGGCCCUGGCCAUUGGACUUCCCUUCCCCACCAACGCCAUCCAAGGGAAGACAUCUGGAUGCGUGCCACGACAGGGCCGGAGAAGCAGAUCCUGCGAGACAUGCUCAGGACCCUGGAGACAAGUAGCUUUAACUGAGUGCACUGUCAAGCUGACAGCUGGGAAAGAAACUUCUAUGUCAAGAGAAUUCCCCGAAGCACAGGCCACGUAAAACACAUCA
rnacentral:lncRNA from 10 species